AGGCUCGAAAGCGUGGGUAGCGAACAGGAUUAGAUACCCUGGUAGUNCACGCCGUAAACGAUGAGUGCUAGGUGUUAGGCCCNUUCCGGGGCUUAGUGCCGGAGCUAACGCAAUAAGCACUCCGCCUGGGGAGUACGACCGCAAGGUUGAAACUCAAAGGAAUUGACGGGGGCCCGCACAAGCGGUGGAGCAUGUGGUUUAAUUCGAAGCAACGCGAAGAACCUUACCAGGUCUUGACAUCCCGAUGCUAUUCUUAGAGAUAGGAAGUUACUUCGGUACAUCGGAGACAGGUGGUGCAUGGUUGUCGUCAGCUCGUGUCGUGAGAUGUUGGGUUAAGUCCCGCAACGAGCGCAACCCUUAUUGUUAGUNGUCAUCAUUAAGUUGGGCACUCUAGCGAGACUGCCGGUAAUAAACCGGAGGAAGGUGGGGAUGACGUCAAAUCAUCAUGCCCCUUAUGACCUGGGCUACACACGUGCUACAAUGGUCGGUACAACGAGUUGCGAGCCGGUGACGGCAAGCUAAUCUCUGAAAGCCGAUCUCAGUUCGGAUUGGAGGCUGCAACUCGCCUCCAUGAAGUCGGAAUCGCUAGUAAUCGCGGAUCAGCACGCCGCGGUGAAUACGUUCCCGGGCCUUGUACACACCGCCCGUCACACCACGAGAGUUUGUAACACCCGAAGUCGGUGAGGUAACCUUUUAGGGG
rnacentral:rRNA from 1 species